CGGUGGAUGCCUUGGCAGUUGGAGGCGAUGAAGGACGUAUUAACUUGCGAUAAGCCUAGUCAAGCUAGUAAAAAGCGCUUGAGACUAGGAUUUCCGAAUGGGGAAACCCACCUGCUUGCAGGUAUCUUACACUGAAUACAUAGGUGUAAGAGGCGAACGCGGAGAACUGAAACAUCUAAGUACCCGUAGGAACAGAAAUCAACCGAGAUUCCGGAAGUAGCGGCGAGCGAAACCGGACCAGCCCUUAAGCUUAUUAUGUGUUAGUGGAACAUUCUGGAAAGUUUGACGAUACAGGGUGAUAGUCCCGUACACGAAAAUGCAUCUUAAGUGAAAUCGAGUAGGUCGGAGCACGUGAAACUUUGACUGAAUAUAGGUGGACCAUCAUCUAAGGCUAAAUACUCCCAACUGACCGAUAGUGAACCAGUACC
rnacentral:rRNA from 15 species